rnacentral:rRNA from 1 species
AUGACCGCUGCCGGCGUGCUUUACCCAUCAAGUCGACGAACGACUAUUACCAGAACCUUUCGGGGCGAAGAAUAUAGAAGUUAGUGCCGACGGGUGCGUAACGCGUGGGUAAUCUGCCUUUGUCAAAGGAAUAACUAUUCGAAAGAAUAGCUAAAACCGUAUAACAUAUUAAUAGGGCAUCCUAAUAAUAUCAAAACGAUAGUGGACAAAGAUGAGCCUGCGUCUGAUUAGCUAGUUGGUGAGAUAAAAGCCCACCAAGGCAACGAUCAGUAGCCGACCUGAGAGGGUGAACGGCCACAUUGGAACUGAGACACGGUCCAAACUCCUACGGGAGGCAGCAGUGGGGAAUAUUGCACAAUGGGGGGAACCCUGAUGCAGCAACGCCGCGUGAGUGAAGAAGGCAUUCGUGUCGUAAAACUCUGUAGUAGGGGAAGAAAGAAAUGACAGUACCCUAAAAGAAAGCCCGG